rnacentral:tRNA from 1 species
GGCUUCACAGCUCACUUGAUCGAGCAUCGCACUGGUAACGCGGAGGUCACGGGUUCGUAUCCCGUUGAAGCCU